rnacentral:lncRNA from 1 species
AGCUCAAAUUGAAUCAGCUGAUUCCGCAUGUUAUCCUUCAAGUACCAUAAACUUUCAGCACUUAUACCUGUUUUCAGCACUCGUACAUGUAAAUACUAACAUAUUUAUCCAAGGACGACCAAAACACCAUAUAUAAAGACCUAUAAACACUACCGCCCUUCCUGUUUUUAUAUAUAUCCCAGGAUUCCCUUUAAGGUGCAGCAACAUAUACCUUUGUAUCCAGAACCUAGUCCAUUGAUAAAGCCCUUUCCAUUGAGUGUAACCAAACUCAUCAUGCCGAGACUUGUACAUUGGCUCCUAGUCCUAGCCAAAUAAACCUCUCUUAUAAAACCAUCGUUCAAUAUUCUCUUCAGUGUUCAAGACCCAGUGAAACACAAAAUACCGAGAAAACCCACCUUGUUAGAAAAAAAAACCUUUUCAUUUUUUUCCCCAUUGUCCCUGUUGUUAUAUACUCACUGCAACUGCAAAAACGCCUAAACUUUGUAAUAUCUUUUGUCACCUUAGUUUGCCCCAACUUUUCAUGAAAAUGAACCGUAAUUGCAAACAUCCUCCGCAACAACGAAUCUACUUCCCUCUUGUGCCUCCACAGAGAUCGCUCCUCUGUCUUAUAGAUCGUUAUCGAAUCCGCUGAAUCUUCAUACUUCCCUUUCAGCUCGUCCUCUAGAUCCAGAUAAACUUCAAUUGUACCUCAUUCCAAAUCGACCAAAAAGGUACCUCAAAAUUCCGAGUAAACCCCAUCAGAAAACGGAAAACAUUCCUCUUUCCAUAAUUUUUUGAUCGAACCCAUGUCGUGAAAAUCCCAGUCACAAUCAAAGAUCUCACACCAAUCAUUAUAGAACCCACAUAAUACUCUCCUUUUAGUUGAAAGGGAUAAGAUAAAUAAGAAUAUAUAUUGUUUGUUGGAAGUAGAUGAUUUCGUGAAACUAAUUAAAAGUAUUAAAUGGAACUAAUUCAAUUUAAUUAAAAUCAUAGUUUAAAAAUAUUCAAGUGGCAGUAUCUUGUAAAUAUUGUUGAAAUAGAAGGGCACCUAAAAAAGACCUUCUGUUUUAAUAGUAUUGAUUUUCAAUUAAACUUUUGUUCCUUAAUCAAUAAGAUUUUUCAAUUUAGAAUUUUAUCACAUGAUUUAAUAUAUGUUAUCACUUAAAAUUCAAAACAUAUAAAUUAAGUUACUGUAUGUGAACUAUAAAUUUGUUGUGUUUUAAAAUGUUAUAUUAAAAAAUUUGUAAUAUGUUAAAUAUUAUAGUUAGCCAUGUAAAAUAAAUAAUUAUGUGUACAAAAAUGAAUAUAAUCACCCGCACGGUUGUGCGGGUCGAGAUCUAGUUAUGUAUUAAAACAGAAAUCAUGACUUAGUUUAUGUGUGAUUUUUUUUUUUUGGACCAUCCUGUAGAAAGUUUAUCAAAUUUUAUAUAAAUUAAUCAUCAUAUCUUUAUCUUUUAUUUAAAAUACAAAUAAAUAUUGUUUAAGAAAAUUCUAGAAAAUCUUUUCAGAAUUAGGAUAAAUUUUAUUUAUGAAAGUUAAUUAACUUAAAUUUAAGUUAUCAUAAAAUAUAAUUAGAAUUUCAAAUUAAAUUUAUUUCUGAUCGAUGAACGAACACUAAAAUCAUAUAAAUAUUUUAAUGAUAAUAACAAUUCAUAUUUAUUAAUUUUCAAAAUACAUUUUAUGAAGAUCUUUAAAAACAUUUGUUAGAAAGAAAUAUUAUUUCUGUUUCAAAUAAAAAUAUUUACUACAAAAUUAGUUUGUAAGUACAAUAUAUUAUAGUUUCUCUUUUAUAAAUAUUUUUUGUUAUUUUCUUAACAGUAUCUCAAAAUAUUUCUUCUCUAUUAUGUAAGUCCAAUUUAAUUUAACUUCCAUAUAUAAAUUUAAAAUUUAGAAAUAAAACCAGAAAUUAUGUUGGUAAGUUUCAUAUAUUCACUAAAGCUAAUAAUAUAAAAUACUUGUAACUAUUUUAAUAAUGAUAUAUUUUAAUUUUAAAUAGAAUUAUUAUUAUGCAUUGAUAUAUAUUCAGUUAUCGUUUAUAAAAUGAAAAAUAAAAAUUACAAUAAAUUACAUCAAUUUAAUAAUAUAAUACUUAUAUAUGAGAUAAUCAAUUUAAAACUGUUAGUGGUGAUAAUGCUCUAUAGAAAUAUGAUUUCAAAAAUAAAAUUUUAAUAUACUAUUUUAUGUGCUUUAGAAAAAUUAAAAAAAUAGAAAAAAGGUUUGAACAGUGAACUUUAAUUAUAUUGUACAAAAUUAUAAAAGUAAGAUUAUUCUUAGAGAUUCACUAAUUAAGAUAUCUCAAGUUAUUUAACGAAUGAUGACUAAAAGAAAGCAUUUUCCGGUUCAGAACUUCAUCCGGUUUACUCUACUACAAAUAUCAAAAACGACUACGCGUGGUUGCACAAAAUUAAGAACCGGGACGUGAUGUCGUUCUCGCCAACAACUUCAAGCCGUCUUAGGGCCUGGUUCAAACGUAUUGGUUGUAGUCGCAGCUGCGCGUGGUUGCGGUUUCUAGCAGUUUUAAAAUAUUUGUACGAUUGAUUUACGGUUAGAAAUUGGUGUUUUUGUAGAAUACUUAUGACUGAUUAAUUACCAAAUACAGCAGCGGUUAAAUAAUAAAUUAACAAUAUUUACAUUUUAUAUAAUUCCAAAAUAGCAAAAAUCAUAAUAAAUAUAAAAAAAAAAUAUUUAGAAAGUUAUAGUUUUAAAUAUUUAAAAAUAUAGAAAUUUUUUUUUAAUUUUUUAUAAUAUUAAUUAAAAUAUAAUAGAUAUAUUUUAGUAUUUUAUAAUUGUAAUUUAAACUUUUUAUUGAAUAUUUUUAUUUUUGUAUUUUUAUUGUUUUAAAAAAAAAUUAUCUUCCCGCAACCGUAAACGAUAGCUGAAACCAGCUUUUGAAUUUAUGAGAUUUAGAACAGUUUGAAACGAUUAGAAACUGUUUGAGUAAUUGUUGCACAACGUCAAUAGCCGAUACCAACCGCAAAAUAUGCGUUUGCGCUGGUAUCCCUUGGCUUACGAGAAAAGAAAGUACAAUACGUGGAAGGAUCGAAAAGAAGUGUUUCUCCACCCGGUUCCUUUUCUUUAUGCUUACGUAAUUGCAUACGUCACAAACUAGUGACGUCGUUACUGGAGUCUUUCCACUAUUUAAACCCCACAAGUGACACUCCUUUCUUCUCCACUAAACUCCAUAUUUCUCUUCUUCUACUUUUCCAUCUGCCUCGCACACAUGGCUCCAUCUACGAAGACGGUCAGUGGGGUUUCACGAUCACCAUAUCAUAUACUUUUUUCCCGCUCCUCGUACAUAACGAGUUUUUUUGGGCGUCUCUUUAGGUUUUGAUUCCUAUUGCGCAUGGUACGGAGCCUCUAGAAGCGGUGGCGAUGAUCACCACGUUAAGGCGAGGUGGCGCUGACGUGACGGUGGCUUCCGUCGAGACUCAGGUUGGCGUUGAUGCUUGUCAUGGUAUCAAGAUGGUCGCUGAUACUCUCCUCUCUGAUAUUACCGAUUCUAUUUUUGACCUUAUUGUGCUCCCCGUAAGUCUCUCUAUAGAUUAUUGCCUCUCAUGUUUGCUUGAUAAUUAUUUUGCUAAAUAUAAAAAAUAUAUGAUUGGUAAAAAGGGAGGGCUUCCCGGCGGAGAGACUCUUAAAAACUGUAAACCAUUAGAGAAUAUGGUAAAGAAACAAGACGCAGAUGGACGACUUAACGCAGCUAUAUGUUGUGCUCCUGCGUUGGCUCUUGGUACUUGGGGUCUACUACAAGGCAAGAAAGUAAGUGUCCAAGAAUCUUAUUUUCAUGAGCUUUUCUUAUAUAUGUCUUGAUUUACAUAUGGUCUUUUCUUGUAGGCAACGGGUUACCCGGUUUUUAUGGAGAAACUUGCGUCUACUUGUGCCACUGCUGUUGAGUCAAGAGUGCAGAUAGAUGGAAGAAUAGUGACCAGUCGUGGACCGGGAACCACCAUAGAAUUCUCCAUCACCCUUGUAGAGCAGUUGUAUGGGAAAGAGAAAGCGGAUGAAGUCUCUAGUAUCUUGGUAAUGAUUUGUCUCAACAAAGAUCUUAAUGAGCAGUAUAGUAAUUAUAUAUGCUAUGGUGUUUGAAUUUGUUUAUGUCAGAUAUUCUCUUAGACUUACCUGCUGUCCUUUUGAAAUCAGCUGGUUCGUCCUAACCCUGGUGAGGAGUACACUUUUACUGAGCUUAACAAAACAGAGUGGUUAUUUGAAGAUACGCCACAGGUACUGUAGGAGAUGGAUCUAACCAUCCCUCAAGGCCCAAGGAAUAGAAGGCCUGGCCCGAACCAAUAAAAGCGAUGGCUCGGAUAGUCGGCUUAGAAGAUCAGUUUCUCGGCUCACUUCUAGAGUACCUCGAGUCGAUCAUCGUCGACUAAGAGGUAUCCGGCUCGGCGAUCGCUCGGAUUAAUGCGGGCCUUUCGGCCCAAUAAGGAAGGCCCACGAAGACGACUUAAACUAGGUCAAGAACGACAUAUCAGAGAACUAUAUAAGGAGAAGGAAGAGGAACGAGAAAGGGAUCCGAAAUCAUCUGACUAACAUCUGGCGGCUAGAUUAGGGUUUUCACCUUUGUUUCAUCUUGCCGUUAUUUGUACUUUUCCGGUAGCUCAUCGAGUUGCCGGCUUCUCUUCUGUCGCAUUCUCUUUACUUCUCUUGUAACCGACUGAACGUCUCUUCCGACCAUAAUAAAACGUCUUUGUUAAACCCACAUCCUUUUAUCACCGUUUUCCGAUCAAACAGUUGGCGCCCACCGUGGGGCCUUUAGCAAAGUAACGUUAGUACUAUGGUUGUCAGCAACGACAGUUCUUCGUCUGGCGAGGAGCGCGAAGCCCUCGAGGUGAUGCCGGCUCCCGAGGUAACACCUACGCCUACACCAGUAACUCCGCUACCCCCUCCUGCGUCCAUGGAAACCAUCUUGGCACGCCUCGCCGCAUUUCUCAGUUUGGUCUUAUGAGGAUUCGGGCCUCUCAUGUUGCUAAUCUUCUUAUCUUUUGGACCCAAUCGAGCAGGCUGUCGGUUCCCUCUGUUCCCAUUGUUUCCAAAUGAGAAUUCCUUCCCAGUCUCUUUGCUCGCUCCUUCAGAAACUAUAUUAAUAGUAUUCUCAUUUUCUUUAUUCUCUUCUCUAUUCCCACUCUCCUCCACUUGUUCCUCCAUAUCCUCCUCCACAUUCAACCCUCCAAACCUAUUCGAAUACGUUGCAUUUCACUGUACUGAAGUCUAUAUCGAAUAAAUACAAAAAAAAAUCACACAAAUAAUGAGAAGGCUAAAAGUUGUCUCAAGUUAAAGUUUCAUUCUCAUAAUAUAUCAUCUAGAACACUGUUUUCAUUUUGGGAAGGUCACAUAUGAUUAAUAAAAGCAACAUAGACAGAACUACCAAUCACCUAUAUGCAUGGGCAGUUAAGUCCUCACAGAGGCAUGAGCCUUCAACGUUUGUAGAACCAGAGUUAAAAAAUACAAAAACGCUACAGAUUCCAGUAAACCCUUUUGAAAGCACCAGACUGUUCAAAGAGAUCUAUCUCAAAAUUCAUCCCAAAGAUCCCUGCUACAACCACGAAGAUGGCUACAACAAAUGUUGCAGUAUUUAACAGCAGCUCAAAUUGAAUCAGCUGAUUCCGCAUGUUAUCCUUCAAGUACCAUAAACUUUCAGCACUUAUACCUGUUUUCAGCACUCGUACAUGUAAAUACUAACAUAUUUAUCCAAGGACGACCAAAACACCAUAUAUAAAGACCUAUAAACACUACCGCCCUUCCUGUUUUUAUAUAUAUCCCAGGAUUCCCUUUAAGGUGCAGCAACAUAUACCUUUGUAUCCAGAACCUAGUCCAUUGAUAAAGCCCUUUCCAUUGAGUGUAACCAAACUCAUCAUGCCGAGACUUGUACAUUGGCUCCUAGUCCUAGCCAAAUAAACCUCUCUUAUAAAACCAUCGUUCAAUAUUCUCUUCAGUGUUCAAGACCCAGUGAAACACAAAAUACCGAGAAAACCCACCUUGUUAGAAAAAAAAACCUUUUCAUUUUUUUCCCCAUUGUCCCUGUUGUUAUAUACUCACUGCAACUGCAAAAACGCCUAAACUUUGUAAUAUCUUUUGUCACCUUAGUUUGCGCCAACUUUUCAUGAAAAUGAACCGUAAUUGCAAACAUCCUCCGCAACAACGAAUCUACUUCCCUCUUGUGCCUCCACAGAGAUCGCUCCUCUGUCUUAUAGAUCGUUAUCGAAUCCGCUGAAUCUUCAUACUUCCCUUUCAGCUCGUCCUCUAGAUCCAGAUAAACUUCAAUUGUACCUCAUUCCAAAUCGACCAAAAAGGUACCUCAAAAUUCCGAGUAAACCCCAUCAGAAAACGGAAAACAUUCCUCUUUCCAUAAUUUUUUGAUCGAACCCAUGUCGUGAAAAUCCCAGUCACAAUCAAAGAUCUCACAC